AGAAGUAGCUAGGGAACGGCGUCGUUUGGAAUUGCUCUUCUCUGCUCCAAAACCCUGACGCCGAAUUAGUAGAAGAGUGUAGCGAAAAGUUCCAGACCCUAAACCCUGAAGCCACUGAGAGCCUGUAGACCCUUUAGCGAAUAUGUUGAGGAGAAAUAGGAGGUUAGAGAAGGAGUACUUGUUCCGGAAAAGUAAAGAAACCCUAGAACGCAGCAAGUACGAGAAGAAGCGCAAGAUUAGAGAAGCCGUGCAAGAGGGUAAACCGAUUCCGACUGAGCUUCGAAAUGAAGAGGCCCAGCUUCGCCAAGAGAUCGAUCUCGAAGAUGAAAACACUGCUGUCCCGAGGACACAUAUCGAUGAUGAGUAUGCCAAAGCAUCAGAAAGAGAUCCCAAAAUUUUGCUAACUACUUCCAGGGAUCCGAGUGCUCCACUAAUACAAUUCACGAAGGAACUGAAACUUGUAUUUCCUAAUGCACAAGUAGUGAAUCGUGGUGGUCAGGUUAUUUCUGAAAUUGUUGAAAGUUGCCGUGCACAUGACUACUCCGAUGUUGUGUUGGUGCAUGAACAUAGGGGUAAACCUGAUGGUUUGAUCAUAUGCCACCUUCCUUAUGGACCAACAGCUUAUUUUCAACUAUGCAAUGUGGUUUCAAGACAUGACAUCAAGGACAAAAAAGCCAUGGGAACAGUGCCACAGGCUUAUCCACAUUUGAUCAUUAACAAUUUCACGACUAAGUUGGGUGAGCGGACAGCAAAUAUUCUAAAGCAUCUUUUUCCAGUGCCAAAGCCAGAUACAAAACGCAUAAUCUACUUUUGCGAAUAAUCAGGACUACAUUUCAUUCAGGCAUCAUAUUUAUGACAAGCCCGGAGGUCCUAAAUCCAUUGAGCUGAAGGAGAUUGGUCCCCGGUUUGAGUUGAAGCUUUUCAAGAUAAAGUUGGGAACAGUGGAUCAGGAUGAAGCGCAGAAUGAAUGGGUGCUCAAACCUUACAUGAACACAGCCAAGAAACAGAAGUUUUUAGGGAACUGAUACAUUAAGUUGUUAGUUACAAUUUUGGUAACCAGUCCCUCGUUAUCUCUCUUUGAUACAAACAUGUAUUCAUAACAACCCAUCAGUAUAAUUGUGCUCUGAUUUGACUGAAAGAUUUCAUCUUAUUUCCAUAUCCAUUUUCGGUCCAAAGCCAUAGCUGUGAAGGAAUCAUUAUCUAACGAGUUCCAUUGUAAGAGAUUUUAUUUAUUUCAA